UGGGGAAUAUUGCACAAUGGGCGCAAGCCUGAUGCAGCCAUGCCGCGUGUAUGAAGAAGGCCUUCGGGUUGUAAAGUACUUUCAGCGAGGAGGAAGGCGUUAAGGUUAAUAACCUUAGCGAUUGACGUUACUCGCAGAAGAAGCACCGGCUAACUCCGUG
rnacentral:rRNA from 1 species